rnacentral:lncRNA from 1 species
AUGAGACAGGGGGAAUUGGACAGGGGAACAGCUGUGUCCAGGUGUGCCCAGGUGUAUCUCAGGUGUGCCCAGGUGUCCCCAGGUGUGCCCAGGUGUCCCCAGGUGUGCCCAGGUGUAUCUCAGGUGUGCCCAGGUGUAUUUCAGGUGUGCCCAGGUGUAUCUCAGGUGUGCCCAGGUGUAUCCAGGUGUAUCUCAGGUGUGUUUUUACCCCCCCAGGUGUGCCCAGGUGUGCCCAGGUGUCCCCAGGUGUGUUCUGGAUGUUCCCAGGUGUCCCCAGGUGUGUUCUGGGUGUGCCCAGGUGUAUUUCAGGUGUCCCCCAGGUGUGUCCAGGUGUCCCCAGGUGUGGCCAGGUGUGUUCAGGUGUCCCCAGGUGUGUCCAGGUGUGUUCAGGUGUCCCCAGGUGUGUCCAGGUGUAUCUCAGGUGUGCCCAGGUGUACCCCAGGUGUGUUUUUACCCCCCCAGGUGUACCCAGGUGUGUCCUCAGGUGUCCCCAGGUGUAUCCAGGUGUGUCCAGGGUGUCCCCAGGUGUAUCCAGGUGUGUCCUCAGGUGUCCCCAGGUGUAUCCAGGUGUGUUCUGGGUGUCCCCAGGUGUAUCCAGGUGUCCCCAGGUGUGCCCAGGUGUACCCCAGGUGUGUUUUUACCCCCCCGGGUGUGCCCAGGUGUACCUCAGGUGUGCCCAGGUGUGUCNNNNNNNNNNNNNNNNNNNNNNNNNNNNUCUCAGGUGUGCCCAGGUGUGCCCCAGGUGUCCCCAGGUGUGCCCAGGUGUACCCCAGGUGUAUCCAGGUGUGUCCUCAGGGGUCCCCAGGUGUAUCCAGGUGUGUCCUCAGGUGUCCCCAGGUGUGCCCAGGUGUAUUUCAGGUGUCCCCCAGGUGUAUCCAGGUGUCCCCAGGUGUGCCCAGGUGUACCCCAGGUGUGUUUUUACCCCCCCCAGGUGUGCCCAGGUGUACCCCAGGUGUGCCCAGGUGUACCCCAGAUGUGCCCAGGUGUGUCCAGGUGUACCCCAGAUGUGCCC